GAACGAACGCUGGGCGGCAGGCCUAACACAUGCAAGUCGAGCCGCCCCNCGAAGGGGAGCGGCGGACGGGUGAGUAACGCGUGGGAACGUGCCCUCUUCUACGGAAUAGCCUCGGGAAACUGGGAGUAAUACCGUAUACGCCCGUUAGGGGGAAAGAUUUAUCGGAGGAGGAUCGGCCCGCGUUGGAUUAGGUAGUUGGUGGGGUAAUGGCCUACCAAGCCGACGAUCCAUAGCUGGUUUGAGAGGAUGAUCAGCCACACUGGGACUGAGACACGGCCCAGACUCCUACGGGAGGCAGCAGUGGGGAAUCUUAGACAAUGGGCGCAAGCCUGAUCUAGCCAUGCCGCGUGAGCGAUGAAGGCCUUAGGGUUGUAAAGCUCUUUCAGGGGGAAGAUAAUGACUGUACCCCCAGAAGAAGCCCCGGCUAACUCCGUG
rnacentral:rRNA from 1 species